rnacentral:tRNA from 1 species
GAGCCAUUAGCUCAGCUGGUAGAGCAACUGACUUUUAAUCAGAGGGUCAGAGGUUCGAAUCCUCUAUGGCUCA